rnacentral:rRNA from 1 species
CUCAGGAUGAACGCUAGCGGCAGGCUUAACACAUGCAAGUCGAGGGGUAACAGGAUUUAGUUUACUAGAUUGCUGACGACCGGCGCACGGGUGAGUAACGCGUAUACAAUUUGCCUUUUACUGAAGAAUAGCCCAGAGAAAUUUGGAUUAAUGCUUCAUAGUAUUAUUUGGUCACCUGGCCGAGUAAUUAAAGCUCCGGCGGUAAAAGAUGAGUAUGCGUCCUAUUAGCUAGAUGGUAAGGUAACGGCUUACCAUGGCGACGAUAGGUAGGGGUCCUGAGAGGGAGAUCCCCCACACUGGUACUGAGACACGGACCAGACUCCUACGGGAGGCAGCAGUGAGGAAUAUUGGGCAAUGGAGGCAACUCUGACCCAGCCAUGCCGCGUGCAGGAAGACUGCCCUAUGGGUUGUAAACUGCUUUUAUACAGGAAGAAACUUAUCCACGUGUGGAUAACUGACGGUACUGUAAGAAUAAGGACCGGCUAACUCCGUGCCAGCAGCCGCGGUAAUACGGAGGGUCCAAGCGUUAUCCGGAAUCAUUGGGUUUAAAGGGUCCGUAGGCGGGCAAUUAAGUCAGAGGUGAAAUCCCACAGCUCAACUGUGGAACUGCCUUUGAUACUGGUUGUCUUGAGUUACAGUGAAGUAGAUAGAAUAUGUAGUGUAGCGGUGAAAUGCAUAGAUAUUACAUAGAAUACCGAUUGCGAAGGCAGUCUACUAACUGUAUACUGACGCUAAUGGACGAAAGCGUGGGGAGCGAACAGGAUUAGAUACCCUGGUAGUCCACGCCGUAAACGAUGGUCACUAGUUGUUGGGGUCUUGUACCUCAGUGAUUAAGAGAAAUUGAUAAGU